GUAAACAUUUACUACCUUUUGCAAAAAAACUUUUCCCUUUUUGAGAGCCUGAUUCGAGAUUUUUAAAUACCUUAGAACAGUAAUAUUGUGCUUUUUUUGGCUAACAGGACACUUGUAAAAAGCAGCUGUUGCAAAACCCAACCCGUGUGUGACUGUGGACCUGUGUGAUCUGCCGCGCAGGAGCUGAAGGAAGCACAUCAGACACUGUAAUUCAUGAAGUUUACCAUUUGAACUACUAACCUGUCCUGGGAAAGAAGGAAGUUCUGCUGACACCAUGUUGGCAAAGCCAGAGUGACUCUGAGUUAGUCCUGAUUUCAGAAAUUCUCUGUUUUUAGGUGGCCACCCCAGGCAUCACAAGGGUCCUCUGCAACUCCCAGGACUGCACUCAGCAGGGGAGAGACAAGGCAAGAGCUGAGCAGAGGAGAGAAGAAAUUCUCAGUAACAACUAUCAGAGAAACUGGCCAGAAGAAGUUGUCUGGACAUCAAGUAAUUCCUGUCAGCUCCUCCACUUCACACAGCCCCCUCCCAUUUAAUCAACAGACCCUAAGCAAAGUGUCACAAUCCUGCUGGGAAUAUGCAGCUUAAUAUCACUCUUGGGGAUGGCUUGCCUGCCAGAAUUGCGUUUGCAACAGUUUGGAAGCCACUUGUGCAGAUGCAAUCUCAUCAAUUCUUUCUGUUCUGCUCACAGUGCUUGAUACCUUCCUUUCUGCUACCUGCUUUAAAUAGUCCUGGUUAGGUUUUUUUUCCAGUGCCAGGAUUUAUUACCACAACUCCCCUGUUUACCCAGAGAGAAAAUGAGGCAGUGAUCUCAUAGGAGGAAAACAAAAGGGUCACAUUUCCACUAGAGUAAGUAAGUAGGUCAGUGCCAUGAGGCAUGUUGGAAGAGGAUUUCAUGAUGCCCACUGGGUGACUAGAGGAGGCUGGACAGGAAGCAGAGCUGCCUGGAGGAGAGCUCAGGUGGAUGUUGGCACUGGCCCUCCUGCCGGCAGGCAGCAAAGGUGUGUUUGAAAGGGUUUCACCAUGCAGCUGAUCACAGCAUCGCUUCCACAAACUCUGGAAGUCCAACAAGUCCCUGAUCUCCACCAGCCUUGUGGUCAGGGGGAAGCCUGUGGGACAGGAGGGCUGUUGCUUUGCUCCCAGCCCCGGACAGAGAGUCAAGAGACCAGGCUGCCUUGCUUCAUGAGCGUCUGGACAUUGCGUACCCUUCCUCCUUCCUCAUUUGUAUAAUAGGGUUAAUAAACACGUUCUGUCCUACAGUGCUGACGUAAUGUUAAGCUCUUUCAUGUUUGUUAAGUGCUACAAUAGGCAGCACCAUAGAAACUCAUAAAUAAUGUCCCUUGAAGUUCUGUCGAGGUAUUAACCUUGUUUUAACAGUGCAGAUUUACAUGAGUUGCCACACACAGGAAGCUUCUCUUAA